rnacentral:lncRNA from 1 species
CAUGAGAAAAGCCAUCAUUCUUAGAUACCAAUUUUUAUUUUUAAGGAAUGAGUGUAAAAACAUACAUGGCUUUUUACCUUAAAUUUUGGCAGUGUCCCAUCAAGCGCUCCAGUGGCUUCCAAGUGAUGACCAAAGGCCCAUCUCUUCCACAUCCACCAACAAAAGAUGUGCACUGUGGUUGUGAAGAGUAUCUACGGCCACUUCCAUGGCUUCUGGGGACAGCCAAGGCACUGCUGCUCCCACCUCCCCAGGGUUCCACACAGGCUCUCAAGGAUGCAGCAACUGAGACAAAGAGAAGGCAAAUGAUCAUCUGGCAGACAAGCACUACACUCCAGCUCCCCCAAUUAUUUGGCUGCUCCCAUCUGCUGGCUGACAUUCCCUCCUUUACUGCAGGAAACAUGGUCAGUGACUAA